AUUGAACGCUGGCGGCAUGCCUUACACAUGCAAGUCGAACGGCAGCACGGGUGCUUGCACCUGGUGGCGAGUGGCGAACGGGUGAGUAAUACAUCGGAACAUGUCCUGUAGUGGGGGAUAGACCGGCGAAAGCCGGAUUAAUACCGCAUACGAUCCACGGAUGAAAGCGGGGGACCUUCGGGCCUCGCGCUAUAGGGUUGGCCGAUGGCUGAUUAGCUAGUUGGUGGGGUAAAGGCCUACCAAGGCGACGAUCAGUAGCUGGUCUGAGAGGACGAUCAGCCACACUGGGGCUGAGACACGGCCAAGACUCCUACGGGAGGCAGCAGUGGGGAAUUUUGGACAAUGGGCGAAAGCCUGAUCCAGCAAUGCCGCGUGUGUGAAGAAGGCCUUCGGGUUGUAAAGCACUUUUGUCCGGAAAGAAAUCCUUGGCUCUAAUACAGUCGGGGGAUGACGGUACCGGAAGAAUAAGCACCGGCUAACUACGUG
rnacentral:rRNA from 1 species